UACAGAGGUGGCAAGCGUUGUUCGGAAUUACUGGGCGUAAAGCGUGCGUAGGCGGUUCGUUAAGUUCGUUGUGAAAGCCCCGGGCUCAACCUGGGAACUGCAAUGGAAACUGGCGGGCUUGAGUGUGGCAGAGGGGGGUGGAAUUCCGCGUGUAGCAGUGAAAUGCGUAGAGAUGCGGAGGAACACCGAUGGCGAAGGCAGCCCCCUGGGCCAACACUGACGCUCAGGCACGAAAGCGUGGGGAGCAAACAGG
rnacentral:rRNA from 1 species